AUCCAGCUGACGGGUUCCAACUAAGACUAAACACGUGUCCUAGAU
rfam:Schistosoma curassoni strain Dakar, Senegal genome assembly, scaffold: SCTD_scaffold0000166